rnacentral:rRNA from 1 species
AUUGAACGCUAGCGGGAUGCCUUACACAUGCAAGUCGAACGGCAGCACGGACUUCGGUCUGGUGGCGAGUGGCGAACGGGUGAGUAAUGUAUCGGAACGUGCCCAGUAGCGGGGGAUAGCUACGCGAAAGCGUAGCUAAUACCGCAUACGCCCUACGGGGGAAAGCAGGGGAUCGCAAGACCUUGCACUAUUGGAGGGGCCGAUGUCGGAGUAGCUAGCUGGUGGGGUAACGGGUUACCAAGGCGACGAUCGGUAGCUGGUGUGAGAGGACGACCGGCCACACUGGGACUGAGACACGGCCAAGACUCCUACGGGAGGCAGCAGUGGGGAAUGUUGGACAAUGGGGGAAACCCUGAUCCAGCCAGCCCGCGUGUGAGAUGAAGGCCUUCGGGUUGUGAAGCACUUUUGGCAGGAAAGAAACGUCGCGGGUUAAUACCUAGCGAAACUGACGGUACCUGCAGAAUAAGCACCGGCUAACUACGUG